AAAAUGUGUACCAAUGAAAUAUCACUGCUGUGUGAAUGUGUGCAUUUAAAAAAAAAAUUGCAGUUCAGUAAAUUCAUCUUCCUCUAAUUCCAGUUUAACAUCCUGUGGGUCUUGACCAAUGCAAAUCAAAUUCGCAUUCAUGCACUGAAAAGCUGUUUGACUCUGAAUUCUGCUCAACCUUGUAUUUGUCAAGCUACAGAAAGCAAAAACCAGGGCUGCAAAACCAAUCCUUCAGACUAACAGCAACCAUCAGGUGCUAACGUCAGAAAUCCCUUUAUAUCCGAACCUAUCCUUAUCCUAUAAAACAGAAACACUAUAAAAAAACAUGUCCACCCGUCAAGAACAAAAGAGGAUAGAACCAAAACAGUAAAGGCAAUAGCAGCAAAACGGGGAGGAGGGAGAGAAAAAGACGAUAUGAUCGAGGGAGCGAGUGAAACUGUUCGAUCUAUACAUCCUGCGGAAGAGGAGAAGUAUUGCUCACACCCACAAUUCACAAUCCAUCAUCACUGAAGAAAAGCAGGAUACAUUUGCCAUGCGGGAUUCAUACGUCUUAUAUCCAAUAUUCAGUAAACUCUCACUAAUGUACAGUAGCUCUCUUUGGAACAGCAAAAUCUCACUCGGAAUCAUCAGCUGUUGCUAUACCUGUAUAUUGUGCCGCUGGUAUUUGCGUGGGUAAUAUUGGUGUUAAGGUGUAAGGAAUGAGGGUGUGCAACAUGUGCGUCUUGAGUCUCUAGUAUAAAUUGUACUUAAUUCCAAACUAUCAGCAUUAUUUGAUUUGCUUAAUUCAAAUACUGAGCUGCUUUUACAGAUAUGGGUCAAUGACAAAUGAGACUGUCCACCAUAAAGAAUU